AUGGUGUUGUUGAAGAUGUUGAUGGAUAUUGCCCUCCCCAAGAUGGGAGAGCUGUUGGUGAUGAUGAGGACGAUGAUUUCCCCCUCCGGGAGGGAAGUUCCCCCGGCGGAAUCGCUCCGCCGGAGAGCAAAAGUGCUCCUGCACAAGUUCCGCCUCGAGGCGGCGACGCUUCGUCCCGAAAGUCCCCCUUUUAUUUUUUAUGUCAAAAUGACUUAUAUACCAGAAGUUGGGCAUCGGAGGUGGGCCGAGGAGGCCACAACCCACCAGGGCGCUCGUGGGGGCCCUGGCACGCCCAGGUGGGUUGUGCCCACCUGGUGGCCCCCCUCGGUGAUUAUUGACUCCAACAUUCUUCAUAUAUUCCAUAAAAAUUCUCCAUGA
rnacentral:rRNA from 1 species